rnacentral:rRNA from 1 species
ACUCAAAGGAAUUGACGGGGGCCCGCACAAGCGGUGGAGCAUGUGGUUUAAUUCGAUGCAACGCGAAGAACCUUACCUACCCUUGACAUCCUGCGAAGGUCACAGAGAUGUGACUGUGCCGAAAGGAACGCAGAGACAGGUGCUGCAUGGCUGUCGUCAGCUCGUGUCGUGAGAUGUUGGGUUAAGUCCCUAAACGAGCGCAACCCUUGUCCUUAGUUGCCAGCAAGUAGAGUUGGGGACUCUAAGGAGACUGCCGGUGUUAAGCCGGAGGAAGGUGGGGAUGAGGUCAAGUCAUCAUGGCCUUUAUGGGUAGGGCAACACACGUGCUACAAUGGUCGUUACAAAGGGAAGCAAACCCGUGAGGGGGAGCAAAUCUCAAAAAGGCGAUCGUAGUCCGGAUUGGAGUCUGCAACUCGACUCCAUGAAGUUGGAAUCGCUAGUAAUCGCAGAUCAGCACGCUGCGGUGAAUACGUUCCCGGGCCUUGCACACACCGCCCGU